GGGUUGUGAGGUUAAGCGACCAAGCGUACACGGUGGAUGCCCUGGCAGUCAGAGGCGAUGAAGGACGUGCUAAUCUGCGAAAAGCGCCGGUAAGGUGAUAUGAACCGUUAUAACCGGCGAUGUCCGAAUGGGGAAACCCAGUGUGACUCGUCACACUAUCAUUAACUGAAUCCAUAGGUUAAUGAGGCGAACCGGGGGAACUGAAACAUCUAAGUACCCCGAGGAAAAGAAAUCAACCGAGAUUCCCCCAGUAGCGGCGAGCGAACGGGGAGGAGCCCAGAGCCUGAAUCAGCAUGUGUGUUAGUGGAAGCGUCUGGAAAGGCGCGCGAUACAGGGUGACAGCCCCGUACACAAAAGCGCAUGUGCUGUGAGCUCGAUGAGUAGGGCGGGACACGUGGUAUCCUGUCUGAAUAUGGGGGGACCAUCCUCCAAGGCUAAAUACUCCUGACUGACCGAUAGUGAACCAGUACCGUGAGGGAAAGGCGAAAAGAACCCCGGCGAGGGGAGUGAAACAGAACCUGAAACCGUGUACGUACAAGCAGUGGGAGCAUGAGUUUACUCAUGUGACUGCGUACCUUUUGUAUAAUGGGUCAGCGACUUAUAUUCUGUAGCAAGGUUAACCGAAUAGGGGAGCCGGAGGGAAACCGAGUCUUAACCGGGCGUUAAGUUGCAGGGUAUAGACCCGAAACCCGGUGAUCUAGCCAUGGGC
rnacentral:rRNA from 1 species